GUGGGCAUAGCUCAGUGGCAGAGCACAUGCUUAUCAUGCACAAGGUCCUGGUUUCAAUCCCCAGUACCUCCA
rnacentral:tRNA from 1 species